CGAAGCAACGCGAAGAACCUUACCUAGACUUGACAUGUCCUGAAUUACCAGUAAUGUGGGAAGUCCCUUCGGGGACAGGAACACAGGUGGUGCAUGGUUGUCGUCAGCUCGUGUCGUGAGAUGUUGGGUUAAGUCCCGCAACGAGCGCAACCCCUAUUGUUAGUUGCUACCAUUAAGUUGAGCACUCUAGCGAGACUGCCUGGGAUAACCAGGAGGAAGGCGGGGAUGACGUCAAAUCAUCAUGCCCCUUAUGUCUAGGGCUACACACGUGCUACGAUGGCAAGUACAAAGAGAUGCAAGACCGCGAGGUGGAGCUAAACUCAAAAACUUGUCUCAGUUCGGAUUGUAGGCUGAAACUCGCCUACAUGAAGCUGGAGUUACUAGUAAUCGCGAAUCAGAAUGUCGCGGUGAAUACGUUCCCGGGCCUUGUACACACCGCCCGUCACACCAUGAGAGUUGGCAAUACCCAACGUCCGUGAGCUAACCUUCGGGAAGCAGCGGCCUAAGGUAGGGUCAGCGAUUGGGGUGAAGUCGUAACAAGGUAGCC
rnacentral:rRNA from 2 species